GCGGCUUCGGCGGCUUCGGCGGCGGCGGUUGUUGUUGUUGUCGCGGUUCCUGUUCUUGCCCGCGGGUUUAGGGCUCUUAGUCCUGAUCGUGGUACGCGGCCAAACCCGACUGGUCCGGUGAAGCCGUUGGAACCUCUCAGCCCCUGGGGGCGAUGGUGCGCUGGUGCGGGUGGAUCCGGACGGCGGGACGGCGGGCAUGAAGGAGGAUGGAAGGGGAGGACGAGGUGUCCGUGCGGGAGCAGCAUUUCCACAGCCAAGUGCGGGAGUCUACGAUAUGUUUUCUUCUUUUUGCUGUUCUCUACAUUGUUUCCUACUUCAUCAUCACAAGAUACAAGAGAAAAUCAGAUGAACAAGAAGAUGAAGAUGCCAUUGUCAACAGGAUUUCGUUGUUUUUGAGCACAUUCACUCUAGCAGUUUCAGCUGGUGCUGUUUUGCUUUUACCCUUCUCAAUAAUCAGCAAUGAAAUCCUGCUUUGUUUUCCUCAAAACUACUACAUUCAGUGGCUAAAUGGCUCCCUGAUUCAUGGUUUGUGGAAUCUUGCUUCUCUCUUCUCUAAUCUUUGUUUAUUUGUGUUGAUGCCCUUUGCCUUUUUCUUUCUGGAGUCAGAAGGUUUUGCUGGCCUGAAGAAGGGAAUUCGAGCCCGAAUUUUAGAAACGCUGGUCAUGCUUAUUCUUCUUGCAUUGCUUAUUCUUGGAAUAGUAUGGGUAGCUUCUGCACUCAUUGACAAUGAUGCUGCAAGUAUGGAAUCUUUAUAUGAUCUCUGGGAGUUUUAUCUACCUUAUUUAUAUUCCUGUAUCUCAUUGAUGGGAUGUUUGUUACUUCUCUUGUGUACACCAGUUGGUCUUUCUCGUAUGUUUACAGUAAUGGGCCAGUUGUUAGUGAAGCCAACAAUUCUUGAAGACCUGGAUGAACAAAUUUAUAUUAUUACCCUAGAGGAAGAAGCACUCCAGAGACGAAUAAAUGUAGGACUAUCUUCAACAGUGGAAUACAAUAUAAUGGAGAUGGAACAAGAACUUGAAAAUGUAAAGGCCCUGAAGACAAAAUUAGAGAGGCGAAAAAAGGCUUCAGCAUGGGAAAGAAAUUUGGUGUAUCCUGCUGUUAUGAUUCUCCUUCUUAUUGAGACAUUCAUCUCAGUCCUCUUGGUGGCUUGUAAUAUUCUUUGCCUGUUGGUUGAUGAAACAGCAAUGCCAAAGGGAACAAGGGGGCCUGGAAUAGGAAAUGCCUCUCUUUCUACUUUUGGCUUUGUGGGAGCUGCACUUGAAAUCAUUUUGAUUUUCUAUCUUAUGGUGUCCUCUGUUGUUGGUUUCUAUAGUCUCCGAUUUUUUGGAAACUUUACUCCCAAGAAAGAUGACACAACUAUGACAAAAAUCAUUGGGAAUUGUGUGUCAAUCUUAGUGUUAAGCUCUGCACUUCCGGUAAUGUCAAGAACACUGGUAACAAGCUUCAUAAGGGCAAGUCCCACGAUCGAGGGCUCGGCACGUCAAACCGCUAGUCCCCGUAUUUGUGACAACAUCACCACCAGUCCAGGAAUCACUAGAUUUGAUCUACUUGGAGACUUUGGAAGGUUUAAUUGGCUGGGAAAUUUCUAUAUUGUAUUAUCCUACAAUUUGCUUUUUGCUAUUGUGACAACAUUGUGUCUGAUCAGAAAAUUCACCUCUGCUGUACGAGAAGAACUUUUCAAGGCCCUAGGGCUUCAUAAACUUCAGUUAUCAAAUACUUCAAGAGAUUCAGACACAAAACCUUCUGCAAAUGGGCAUCAGAAAACACUGUGAGAUACGCAACAACAUUCUGCAAUAAAGAGACCUGAGAACUCCAAAUUUAUGACAUUCCUGUCAGUCAUAGAAAUGUUUUUAUACUGACUUUGGUUCAUAUUAGGCCUGGAUCUGUCAGUGUCAUUUUUUUCAUAAUCUAUUAGGAACUUGGUUAUUGCUGGUUUUUCUUGAUUUAAAUUUAACUUUCUGAUGGAAUCUGUAGUUUCCAGUUAAACACAGAUUCCUUAUAGACUUACAGAACCUGAGAAGAGCAGCAAAUUCUUCCUCAGACACAUUUGCUUACAUUAGUAAAUAUUAUCAUCCAUAUGAAAAAUUGUUUUUGCCUGAUAUGAAAAUGUUAGAAAAGGCAAACUUUGGGGACUUUCUAAAGAUUCAUUUUGAACAUUACAUAUUUUAUUUUAAAUGUAGAAACCUACAUGAAAGGCAUCCAUGAUACUAAGUGAAGGUUCUGCAAAAAAAUGCAGUUUUCAAAUGCAAUAAAAAUUGCUUAUAGAUGUCAUUAUUAUUGUAAUGGGUGCACUGGAACCAUAAUAAUUGUAAAUUAUAUUUUUCAUGUCCUUAAAAAAAAAAAAGGAUAGCUCCUGAUUUAUGUUACAGAAUGCUAUUGAUUAGACUUUGAGUGAAGUUAAAAAUACUAAGUUCUUUUAAAAUCUGAUCCUUAGUAGAAAGUCACAGGAAUAUUUUUUGUCAUACAGUACAAUAAGCUAUGGUAGGAAGUAUUAUGUAAUCAUAGUUCUAUGAAAGUUUAUAUGUAUAUAAUUCAAUAUUACCUCUCAUAGUUGCCAGUGUUGAACACACUUGUAACUUAGAUUUUGCCUUUUAGGCUAUAUGUAAACUCACUGUUUUUUUUUAUCUUUUUGUUUUUUGUUUCUUUAGUGUUUUCUUCAAAAAUCACUUAAUUCCCUGUGCUUUUGUGACCCUUGUGAAUAAUAUAAAUGCUCAGUGCUAGAAACCACUUCUUUCAUCAUAUUCUGCAGGCUUUGGUUACUUUUGUAUAUGCCAGUUUAAACAUCAGACUUAUAAAAAGUUACCAAUUUAACAUGCCAAACUCAUAGUGUCAGCAUUCAUGAUAUAAGAAUAGUUUUGCAGUGUAAUAUGAUCAGAUAAUCAGUUAGUUAAUAAAUUGUAAAUAAUUGUUGGUUUGGUUUCCUAACUUUAAGUCCACUGAAAAAAAUAUGAAAUUAUGCUGUCUGCAAGGGUAGAAUACCUAAAAUUUUUGCAUGCAAAAAUAUGAUGGCCCCAUUUUCACACAGUUCAUAGUUAUGCAGCUUAUAUAAAUAUAUAUGUUCACAUGCACUAUGUGUAUGGCAAUAGGUUGUCUGUGUUCAGACAAAAGUAAAAGAACAUUUUUCUCAAAUUGUUGAAUAUAAAGGUUUUUUUGGAGAAAUUUAUGAAAAACAGGCUGUAUAUAUUUAACAUAAAAAACUUCCACUUAGAACAAAAUUAAUAAGAAAAACUAAUAUGUUUAUUUGUAAGCUCCAUCUAGUAUACCUCUGCCUUAUUUACACUUCUUCACUUCCUUCUGAGCUUCUUGUUUUAAAAUGCAGCUUAGUUUAAAAAUGAAAGAACGUUUCGUGAUUCUAAGCCAUACCCAGUAAACACCACCGUUCUAGUAUUGGUGAAUUUCUCAGCAGUGUAACUGAUCUCAUAAGAGCUACAUACCUAGAAAAUUAAUAAAAGUUAGCCGCUCUCUAAUUUCACUGUUAAUUAUACCUAUUUAAGCAUUAAUUGCAAGCUUCAAUUUUUACUGAAACUUGGCACCCAUACUUUGAUGAGACCAAGUCCAGAGGAGAAGAGAAAUAAACUCAGGAGUCUACUAAUAUCACUUUUAACUUACACUAAAUUCAGGGCAAAUCCAAAGAAAGAGUUCCUGGGUAUUUGUAAGAUGUCUGAAAAUUUUUGAGUAAAAUAUUAAACUUUUCAUUGUCUAUCUGAACUUUCUGUUCAUUUAAAAGUUUCUUUCUAAGGCCUUAAGCCAGGGUUGGAUCAGUAAGCUUAGCAAAAUAUAUUAUAAAUACCUAUAGGAUGCAAUCUUCAUUGCUUUUGAAACAGGAUGAGGCAUAAUGUGGAAGGAUAAUUUUGAACAUUGGUUCUAAGAUGCCUUUUAUGGAAACAAAUACAGAUUGUUAAAUACUCAAUCUGUGCAUAAUCGUAAUAACUUUAGGUUCUAAAAACAGUUAAUAUAUUCCUGAUCCCAUAUACCCAAAAAUCUCUCUCUUGAUGCAGAUGCUACUAUUGGGCAUAUGCUGGAGGCUGGUUUGUAUAAAUCCUAUGUCAGAAAUGGAUGGCAGUAUACUGAGCCAAAUAUUCUGAGUACUGAUAAAGAUAGUCAAUAGUCAUUCUUAGUGUUUAUUGCGAUUGUACCCCAGUGAAGAAGAAGGUGGAUAGACCCUGGAAGACAGAGAUCCAAAUGUUAAUAGUUAAAUUAAUUUUGAAACUACCAUUUCAUGUCUAAUUGGAUGGGUGCAUAUAUAAGUGACUGCAUUAAAUCAAGUGGGUCCUUUUAUUCUUUCUCACCUUUAGUAUCUAUUUUCAAAGGGCAUUAGGCCCUGUAAUUACAAAGUUUCUUGAGGAAACUUAUCAGAUUCUUAUCAUUAAUUGGUAUUGCAAUAGCUAAAUAAUUAUUUUUAAAUAGUAAGUUUUACAGAUUAUAACAUUUGUAUUGAUUUUUACUGAUUUUGCAAGAUAUUGAUUAGAUUUAAUAUUUCUUAGCUUAAUGUACAUUCUUUAUAAAAAAGACCUUUAAAUAUGAGACUUUAUGUGAAAAUUACACACACACACAUGCACUAAAAUGAUAACUUCUUAGUUUGCUACAUUGAGGAAUUUAUUAGUGGAUAAACAAGCCUUUUGAAUUGUUUUGACUUGUGGAUGCAUUGAAAGUAUACAUACAACUCUUAGUAACAUCAACAUGUGCCUCACUUUGCUUAGACCUUAUCUGUAGCUACAGUAACAACUCGGUCUAGUCAUGACCAACAACAUAUGUUUAGUUAUUUGAGAGCCCCUAUGUGGAUCUCUUUGUUGUUAGUGCAGUGUUUGCACAAAGGUGGAAUUCUUAAAAAAUAAUUUUUUUUUAAAUGUGAGCAUACAUGCAACAUUGACUUUUUAAGUUUUUUAAUUCUAGUGUGAUGCUAUAUUAAAAAUAAUGUUUGGAUGCGCUGGUAAAUUAUGUUUUGUUUACAUAUUAAUCUGUGAAACUGUCCUUUGGUCUUGUUUGUUUCAAGACCUACUUUUAGUGUGACUUUUAAAAUAACUUAGAAACUAAAGUUUUACAAAAACAAUUUCAUAUUUUGAGUUACAAGCACUAAAAUAUAUUUUCUUUUUAAAUCUUGAAUACCAUCAUGGCUAAAACUUAAGAGUAGUUUUGGGACACUUCCACUUCAAUUUUAUAAAAACAAUAAUUUUACUGGUAGAGUGUUUAAUAGGGAUGAAGUAUGUAUUUUCUCUCUCUUUUUGUUCUGCAGUUACUGGUAGAUCCAUUUCUAGUGACCUAAAAUGUAAAAUCAGUAAUUGAAAAGCAUGUACUUUAUCUUAUUUAUUCCUUCGAGUUACUUAGAUUUGUUUGGUUUCUCUAAUUUAUUCCAUAAAAGGACAGAGCAAUACCUAAUUGUUAUGGUCUGAGCAGCUUGAUCCAGAGUUCUUGGAAGAGUAAAUGCCAUUAGCAUCUGGUUAACUUCCCUGACAGACAUAAAUCUUUACAACAGUGACUUUCAAAUUUUUUGACCACAGUUAAGAAAGACAGUUUACCUUGUAACUCAGUACACAAGCACUUGUAUAAAUAUAAAACAAAAAUUUAACAAAAUAAUACCUACUUUUACUAUGUGUGAUGCAUGCUGGUAUUUUCUAUUCUGUUUUAUUGUUAUUUUUAAAAAUGCUGUACACAAACCACUAAUUUAUUUCCUGACCCACUAAUGCGUGGUAAAUUUGUUUGAAAAACAUGACUUUGAUUCUGAUUUGAAUACAAAGACCUUAUUUUUUUUUUUUUUUUUGCUUUUGAAUAUUGUUCAGGUAAAAUGUGUUAUUACAGAUACUGAAACAGAAUAUUGUAUAUGCCAAUUACCUGUUGCACUGCAAGUGACAUAAUUAGGAUCAAUUAGAAAUUGCCAAAACUCUCAAAAACUGGAUUAUAAAAUUUCAGAACUAAGUGAUUAAUCUAUAUGUCUUAAAGGUUCAUCACCAAAGUGAUGAACAGCUAACUUCAAGAAAAGGUAUUUAACUUCCAAUUCUGUGUAUUUAAAUUAGGUAUUUUUUUUUCAAGUUCAAAUAUAAUCAAAUAGGAAAUUCAGACAAAAUCCAGUUAUUCUCUGAAACAUCUUUGAUAUUCUACUUUUAAUUCUAAAGGCACUAAAGAAGUCAAGCUCAGAAGCAUGGACUAUUAAAAAAUAGGGCAGCACUCUGAUGUUAUGCAUACUGUUGAGGACCAAAAGUGAUACAAUGAAAUUUUUAGUAUCUGAAUGUAAGGAGACUUCUUUUCAAACUUGGGUUGUGAAUCUGAGAAAGAACAUCUUAUUCAUUACUAAAAAUAGCUUUUCAAUGUUUUAAUGUCUUUUCCUUUUAAAAGCUGUUAUUAAAUGAAUGUUGUUUCUUACAAACUGUGACCCUUAGAAUCAAGGAUGUGUGAUGCUACUACAGCUAUUAUAUUGACUCUGCAACUCUUUUUUUCACCGUGUCUUGAAAUUGUCCAUAAUUUUUUUUUUCUACUGGCUUAACAGUAGACUUGGAGAAUUUACUCUUUGACUUAAAUGGGAAAUAUUACUGAUGCUGAUACUUGUCUCUUUGCCUUUGCCAAUACCUCCCUUUUCAGAAAAUGUCCUGUUACUUUCUCUUUCUUGCAUCCUAUCUUUAAUCCAGUCUGAAGAAUGAUUCACUUUUUCAUUUCUUCUCUUUUUGUAGUCCUUAAUGCAGAAUCUCAUCAAAGACUUUGAAGUGGGGGAGGUGAAAAAGGGGUGGGGGGUGAAGUGCACUGUUCACACAUAUUCAGCAAUCCUGUGAAAUAGGUAAAUACAUAUCUCCAUUUUACAGAUAGAAAUGGAAACUCAGAAAGGUUGACAUUUGGCUAAAGUAACACAGCUAGUAAAUUGAAGAAAUGGAUUUGAAUACAGGUCAGCUAGGAGUCUGCUUAUCUCAGCUAGGCUUCCUGCACUUGGCUGCUGAUUGGAACCAGUUCUGCUCCGUGUUUCUUGUCUUCCUUAAACCAGCUGCCACCUGGCGCAUAUUCUCAUGGCAAGAGGCAGCAAUGCCAGAGGGCAAGCCCAGCUUCAUGUGAGCACAUUUCAAGUCUCUGCUCAUACAAUGUCUGUUACUAUUCCCAAUGGUCAGAACAAGUCACAGAGCUAAGCCUAAAGUCAAGCAAGAGCGGCAUAGAGGACAAGUAUACAUUUCUCCCAAGGAAAACUCCUCUAAAGCAAGAAGACAAGUGUGAUGAAACAUAUGUGAACAAGACAAGAGAACGAUCUGACGGGAAUGCUGAUGAUUACUUUUCUCUGAAGACGCACAUUGAAAAUUACUGUUAAAUGAGAGUGGUGUGAGGCAAAUCAAACAUUCAUAGAUUUCCCGAUGAAGUGCCUGUAAUACAGGAGAAGAAAUGAGUUUUGUUAUGGGAGGUUAUUAGUUUUAUCAUAAUAGAAAGUUACUUAAAUGUAAGUGAGAAAAUAUAUACCAAGAGAUAUGUAUCUUCUAAAAGACAAAGUUUCAUUCUGUGUUAAAAUAAUAGUAAUUAUGCCUAUACUUUGUUAUUCUUUAAAAAAAUGGAAAAGACAGAAUAACCCAUCACUCAGGUAUAACUUUAAAACAAAAAUACUUCAUAAAAUGCUAAAAAAUAUACACGUCUUUCUAAUUAAGCAAUAAAGAAUAGCACUUCUCAGAAUACUUGGCUUAAGGUAGUUGCUAAAGCUCUUUUUAAAUUUGCCUACUUUUAUGAUUUUUUUUAAGUAAGUUUUUUUCUCUAUGUUGGUUUUUUUACUACAGAGGGAAGAGAAGGACAAGCUAGAACAGGAAACUUUCCAUGUAGGUAAUAGGUAUGGCAGUUUUUUCCCUUCAAUGUUUUCAUUUUUCAUAAACUGGCACCAUCAAAUCAGAAUUUCAAGCUAAAGGGACCUCAGAAAUAAUCACUGACCUCAUGACUAAGGCCAUGGGAGCUCCAUCCCUUGAGCCAGGCUGCAGCUAGGGUAGGAUAUAUUCUGGGCUUGACAUUACCAGUCUUUACUCCUCAGAUAACUCCUUCAGAAACUAAAAACCAAAUCCAGCAGAAUUUCUCCCCCAAAUGACACUGUUGCAGACUUGUGAUUUUAGCUGAUUUAGUUUUUUGACAAGACAACCAAUCUAAAGCUUACCUGUAUUUGAAUUUUCUCCCAGUCCUGUUCUGUAAUUUCAUGGCCACACUUUUCCUCCAACUGCUGUAAAAUGCUUCUAUUUAUAGCUAGGCAGUGAUCAAUUUCUGAAAAGAGCUCUUCUAAGUUUGUGUCAUAUGAACAUAAUAUUCGGUGACUGAUUUUGGUGAACUGAAAAGGACAAAGGGAGGAUGGGAAAACUUACACAUUGAUUUUGACAUUUUUGGUAUAGGUGUAUAAGGGAAGCAUUUUCUUGAGUCCUUAUUGCCUAUUUUACUAAUUUUUCUCAAAUCUCUGUUCUUUCAAUAAUGCUUUUUGAGGAAAUGGACAAAUGGCUAUUUACUUAAUUACAAAUCCAGGAAUAUAUAUGAAAUAAAAAAUUGAGAGAUGAAUUAGAGUUUUUUAAAAAUUAGCCACAUUAUCAUCCUCCUCUGGCACCAUUUUGCUCUAAUCUUUAUGGAGGACUGUCGAUGUACAAUGCCAUGAUUUCCUAGAGCUUUUUCCACGAGUCAGGCUUUUGCUAACUAGAAUAGCUUCAUAUCUCUUUGCUUGCCACUAUGGUUGCACAUUGUGACUAAUCAUUUAGCAUGACUAUUAGAAAAAGAAAAUCCAAAGAGAUAUUACUACCUUCUUUUAACCUGGUUGUUCAUUCUGCUUUUCUCACUGAGUUCUAAAAUCAUAAUUUGAAAAUCCAUUGCCCAAGAACAUUAUUAAUCUCUUUACAUAAGCCGAUGCUUCAGAAGAGAUCUUAGGACUUUUCUUUAAAUUCUCCUUUCAUUACAAGCAUAGAUACAGUGGAGGCAGCAUAUUGCACUUUAUCUAAAACCUUUAAAAAGUUUGCUCUGAAAAUACUGCCCUUGAAUACAGCCUUUAAUGUUUCCUUCAAGGUCAGUUCUUUUUAUAAAAUAAUUUUGAUCCAAAGAGAUUCAGAAGAACACAGUGAUCUCUUCUAUGACAAAUGAUUUAACUUGAAGAUGGAUGGUUGCAGAAUGGCUUGCUAUCACCUGCUGAUGGCAAUCAACCAAAAUUGCUAGGAUGAAGCAAAAUCAAUGCAGACUCUUCUGCUAGAAAGCAUAUAUCUGCAACGUAAAUUAGCUCAUAUGUGAUUAGUGAAAUGGAACGAUGCUAUGUAAGGUAGAAGUCACAUGGACUCAUGGGUGAUAUUUGCCCCCAAUAUGUUAAUUUUUGCACCAUUAAGAAGUAACAGUUGUUAAAUGCAAAGUAUGAAUGACAUGAUAUCCUGUAGCCUGCUUUCUGCCUCCUGUCUCAGUUUGGCCAUGAGCUUUGUUUUGGAAAUGUUUACUACCUGAUUCCCUGAUUUUUGGGUAUUUUUAGCCUUUAUCUCCCUAAUUAGGAAGCUUCGACCUUUCUUUAUUGGCCCUUCCACCAAGAUACCAUCACCCCUUGCUUAAAAAGAGGUUUAAAGAAGACCAAUGAAACUGGAAGAAGACAUGGACUGUGCUUUGAAAAUGGGUACACUGUGUAACAGAGGCAGGGGGAGCAAAAGGAAGAAUGAGCACCGCAUGAAGGGUGAGCUGGUAUACUUAGAACAGUGGGUACAGGGUGGGUUAGAGGUAAAGUCCAAAGUGAUGAUGAGGUAUAGAUAGAAACGGAGUAGAAGGGUUAAUUAGGCAAUAGAAACAAUAGAAGGUAGGUAGCUGGAAAUACUGGAUUGGAACAGAACUAUAGCUAUGAUGGUCUUCCUUGUGGAAGUAAUAACUGAAGUUCCAAGAGAGCUUUGAAUUCACAAAGCAAGUACUAAGGAAAACAAGGGGACUAAAGAGGAAUCCUUAGGGGUGCACAGGCUGAUAAGAGCAUGGGCUACUUCAUGAAGAAGUAUAUUAAAUCUCGUGUAGAGGCAAUGGAAGGGCAGUGGUGAGGAAAGAAAUCACUUGCUAUUUACCUGCCAGCUGUGUUUUUUCUUAUCUUAAAGAAACUGAAAAUAAAUUUACUUAGUUGGGAGGAUUCAUUUGCAGAGGUUAAAGUGCUCUAAGAAUAGUGAUUACAGAGUUAAACCUUGGAAAGUAAAAAUAUAACCAAUGUUCUCUCACUGAAAAAUAUUUUGGAACCUAGAGUGGGGCUGUCCUUAAAUAUAAGCAAAAAUAGCAAUGGGACCCUCAUGGUCCCUUCAAGACUGACCUGAAAAUCUACAAGUGUUCCUUCGCUUAUGUUAUAUACUUAAAAAAUUCUUAUUUUAUAUCCUCAAAAUAACCCUAUAAACAGGGUAUUUUGCAUUUUACAGAGUAGAAAAUGAAUAAGCGAGUUAACUUCUCUGUGUAUCACAAAAUCACAGAUAAUAGUGGAGCCAGGAGACUCAAUUGAGUCUCAUGGCUCUUUGCUUUAUGUGAAAGCCGAGUACAACCUAUAUUUUCAAAACUUAACAAGAUAAUGCGUAUAAGCAAAAAAUACUUAUAUCCCUAAGAUAAAAUGACUAUGGAAUAAGUAAUUAAAUUUUGAUAAGAGAAACCAAUGAAUUAUUUCUGGAUUUAGAGCCAGCAACACACUAUUAAAUAUUAGAAACUACUAAAAGCAACUCAGAGAACAAGUUGCUGAGUUGAAGUCUGUCAAAUGACAGAAUAUCAAAAAAGCAUGGAAAUAAUAUAAAAGGAUGAAAAGCAAUCAUGGAAGACAAUCAUUGAUGGAAGUGAGAAUGAACUAUAACACUGGAGAUUAAUUUAUUUCUGAUGAAAGAUGAAAGACAUUGCUUAGAAAAUGGGAUAUCAGCCAAAAAUAAAUGUCUACCUUAGGGAGUGUUACGGAUUGCAUUGUGUCCCCCCGGAAAGAUAUUCAAGUCCUAACUUCCAGUCCUAUGAAUGUGACCCAUCUGGAAAUAGGAUGUGUCAGUGUUAUUAGUUAAAAUGAAGCCACACUGAAUUAGGAUGGGCCCUUAAUCUAAAAUGAUUCCUGUUCGUGUAAGGAGAGGAAAUUUGAACACAGUCUGUAACAGAGACAGAGACAGAAAGAGUGACAGCCACAUGGAAGAGGCAGAGAUUGAGUUAUGCUGCCACAAGCCAAGGAAUGCUAUGAAUUGCUGGCCAUACACGAGAAGCCAGGAGAGAGGCAGGGAAUGGAUUCUCCCCUUUAAGAGGAAGCAUGGACCUCCUGACACCUUGAUUUUAGACUUCUAGCCUCCAGAGUCAUGAAAAAAAUAAAUUUGUUGUUUAUGCCAACUGAAGUGUGGUACUUUGUUAUAGCAGCCCUGGGCAACUAAAAUAGGGAGUGAGUAGGAAGAAUCCAGGUCAGGUUGAAACUAUUUUGUUGGAAAAUGAACAAUGACUAUUUCUUAGUUCUUUCUUUUGUCAUUUUUUGUUAUUCAAAAAGUGACAAUAUUUAAAGAAAAAGAAUGACAAGAUGGCCAUCCUUUGAAUUCCUUCCCUCCCCACUCCUGCUCCCCUUGGCUCCCCAGGAUUGAGCCCUGGUUGAGGCUAGGUAGCAGGACAGCCUCUCGGAUGAGGCAGCAACACUGAAGUGCACUUCCUCAGUUGAGGUGUUGUAGAAGGUCUCCAUGUCUCGAAGACUGCUCUUGACUUCUUCUGUCACCAUGUUGAAAGCCACACACUUCUGGCCAAAAUGUCCGCCAUGACCAAUUCUGUGGAUAUAGUUUUCCCUGUUGGUGGGAAGGUUAUAGCUGUUGAUGACUAAAGAAACCCGCUGCACAUCAAUGCCUCCGGCCAGUAGGGGGGUGAUAAUCAGUACUUUGUUAGAACAAGAACAGAACUCUCUCAUGAUCACAUCUCAUUCCUCUGGGUCCAUAUAGCCAUGCAUGGCAGAGGCCGUGAAGUCUUGGGUAUGCAUCUUCUCAGUGAGCCAAUCUGUCCUUCAAGUGUUGAUGAAGAUAACUGCCUGGGUGAUGAUCAGGGUUUCAUACGAGUCACAGAGUGUGUCCAGUUUCCACUCAUCACAUUCCAUAUUGAAUUGAUGGAUGCCCUCUGGGUCAACCCUUUCUUUUUGACAAGAAUCUGAAUGUGAUCCCUCAUAAACUUCUUGGUCACCUCAAGCACAUCAGAAGACCCUGUAGCUGACAGUCAAACCAACAUGAUACUGCUGUUGAGCUUUUGGAAUACAUCAUAGAUCUGGUCCUUGAAUCCACAGCUCAAUAUUUCAUCAGCUUCAUGCAGUACAAACAUUUUGAUAUAUUGGGGAGACAGGUAUCUCUGAUUAAGCAUAUCAAAGAUAUAAUUUAAGGUACCCACGAUGAUAUGGGAUGCCUCUGUCUGCAGCUUCUAAAACUCAGCACGCACAUUUGUGCCUCUGAUGCAGGUGCGGAAGGAGGCACCCAUGUAAUCGCUAAUGCUAUUAUCAUUAGCAUUACUUCUGUAUCAGCUGAGACAGUUUCUGAGUGGGAGCCAGGACCAAGGUCUGGGUCAUCUUUAGGUCCAAUCCAAUCUUUUAUAGAAAUGAAAUGACCAUUUUCCCAGUCCCAGAUUGGGCUUGAGCCCAAUCACAUCAUAACUUUAUUGAAAGAAAACGAUCAAUUCAUGUGUCCAAGGCACAAACCAGGCAUGGGUGUGGUACAAAGCCAAGCUGGGAGAAACAAGGGGUUACUCUGUCCCUGGCUGAUGUGAGAUGGGCACCACUACCAUUGCCACUCUACCUAGGUCUGGAAGGUUAAUAAACUAAGAGGAGUGAAUAUCUAAAAGGCGAGCUAAUAUAUUGCUUUUUAAACAGUAAAAGAGGAAAGCUUCAGAUUCCAAGAAAACCUGAAAAAGGCAUAUGUACUUUUUAUUAAAAAAAAUUAUAGGAAGCUUAAAGAGAUUUGCUGUUUCUUCUGUAAAAUGGGCAUGUUAGAAAAAGAAUUAGCAUUGAAUAAUAGAACUCUGUCCUCUUCCCCUAAAUAUCUCUUGUUCUCCAGUUCAUGCUUUAAGGGGAGUGAAUGACUUGUAGAAAUUAAUUUUUCAUAAAUAAAUGCAGAGUUGUAGACUCUCUAUCCACAGCCUACUAAGCUCCCCUCCUAGUGCUUCCCUUCUAAGUCUUCCGAUGAUGGCAAAACUGCUUCAGGAAUUGCUGAUACUGCCAAAGCCACUCACUGCUACCUCAUCAACCGGAGGGUGUCCCUUCCUAAUGCCAAGA